GUUGGUGUGUGCACAUGUGGAAACUGCUUUAGGAGGAGAAGGCAUAACCCCCCUAAAUGCCUACCCGGAGGCAGUGAUGGGCUGGAUGAGGGCUAACAAACAGACUGGAUCCAGAUAAGACAGAGACUUCCUUAUUCACAUGGAGAAAUUUUAGCCCAUCAGUACAACAGAGAAGAACGGAAGGGGGAA